ACCCUUUUAAAAGCACUCAGUGGUCCUUCCACUAUGGAACCCCUGAGCCACCAAUCAAAGGCAAAGUGAAGACAUUGUUUUUGGGUGAAGCAGCAGCGUGUUGUGUUUAGCUCCAAUCGAUGCUAUCAUGGGG